rnacentral:sRNA from 1 species
GGGAUUAGAUACCCCUGUAGUCCUGGCCGUAAACGAUGAACACUAGGUGUCGGGGGAAUCGACCCCCUCGGUGUCGUAGCCAACGCGUUAAGUGUUCCGCCUGGGGAGUACGCACGCAAGUGUGAAACUCAAAGGAAUUGACGGGGGCCCGCACAAGCGGUGGAGUAUGUGGUUUAAUUCGAUGCAACGCGAAGAACCUUACCAGGGUUUGACAUCCUGCGAACCUCCUGGAAACGGGAGGGUGCCUUCGGGAGCGCAGUGACAGGUGGUGCAUGGCUGUCGUCAGCUCGUGUCGUGAGAUGUUGGGUUAAGUCCCGCAACGAGCGCAACCCACGUCGUUAGUUGCCAGCAUUAAGUUGGGCACUUUAGCGAGACCGCCGGUGAUAAACCGGAGGAAGGUGUGGAUGACGUCAAGUCAUCAUGCCCCUUACAUCCUGGGCUACACACGUACUACAAUGCUACGGACAAAGGGCCGCAAGCUCGCGAGAGUAAGCAAAUCCCAUAAACCGUGGCUCAGUUCAGAUCGUAGGCUGCAACUCGCCUACGUGAAGGAGGAAUCGCUAGUAAUCGCAGGUCAGCAUACUGCGGUGAAUACGUCCCCGGGCCUUGUACACACCGCCCGUCACACCAUGGAAGUUGGCCACGCCCGAAGUCGUUACUCCAACCCUUGUGGAGGAGGACGCCGAAGGUGGGGCUGAUGACUGGGGUGAAGUCGUAACAAGGUGGCCGUACCGGAAGGUGCGGCUGGAUCACCUCCUAACAGGGAGACAAACCAGACAAUGAUGCCUGAGCAAAAUAAUCUUAGGCCGUCGUCCUGUCAUCUCGAAGGUCGAUCGGUACCUCAAUGAGGGUAAAGCAGAACCUGAGCCGAAAGGUGAGGGAAGAGAGCAGAAUCCUUAAUUCAGUUCCUAAACUUUGUCUAGGUCACCCCACAGCGGGCCCGGAAACGGGAAAAAGAACUCCUGGGCCAUUAGCUCAGGUGGUUAGAGCGCACCCCUGAUAAGGGUGAGGUCCCUGGUUCAAGUCCAGGAUGGCCCAUUCGUGUUUGGGGGUUUAGCUCAGUUGGUAGAGCGCCUGCUUUGCAAGCAGGAUGUCAGCGGUUCGAGUCCGCUAGCCUCCAUCCAACUCUUUAGAAAGCCCCUAAGCCAAGGAGAUUUGAGCCGAGGUGAAGGAGACCAAGACAUCCAGAGGCAACGAGCGAAGAACAGGAAUCCAGCCUCGUUUCAUUCCCAAAAGUUAGCUUAGCCAAGUGUAAGCGAUCACAAGAUUGCGACCAAGCUUGGUUUAGUUAGAGGGUUGAAAGGAAGCUGGACUUGUCCCGUUUGAUUGUAUGUAGGUAUCAGCUACUGCGAAAGCGGAGUCGAGAAUACAGAGAUCAAACGUAGGAAGUUCAGCACCGAACCUUGACAACUGCAUAGAAAAGUCUGGAAAAGAAAGCAUCUCAUGGAUGCCCAGACCGGCAAGAUUUGCUGUGGGGAGAGCGAAAGUUCUUGAAGCAGUGAAGAUUGAAGGGAAGGGAGAUUCUGGAGAAAUAAGUCGAGAGCUUCAUUAUGGCUUAUCUGCUCUGCCGAGUAAUGGAUAAGUUUGAUUUUUGUUUGUGUAAGAGCAAGCAAAGAGAAUGGGAUACAACACCCGAACCAUAAUGAAGAAGAAUGGUCAAGCUACAAAGAGCUCACGGCGGAUACCUWGGCACACAGAGGCGADG